UUUUUUUUUUUUUUUUUUUUUUAGACGGAGUCUGGCUCUGUCACCCAGGCUGGAGUGCAGUGGCCGGAUCUCAGCUCACUGCAAGCUCCACCUCGCGGGUUCACGCCAUUCUCCUGCCUCAGCCUCCCGAGUAGCUGGGACUACAGGCGCCGGCCACCUCGCCCGGCUGUUUUUUGUUUUUUUUUUAGUAGAGACGGGGUUUCACCGUGUUAGCCAGGAUGGUCUCGGUCUCCUGACCUCGUGAUCCGCCUGUCUCGGCCUCCCAAAGUGCUGGGAUUACAGGCUUGAGCCACCACGCCCGGCACUAAACAGUUCUUAACCACUUUAAGGGAGGAGUAGUAUAUUUCAGAGAAGUCAAAAUCUAGGCUCUAUCCCUUACUAGUGUGUGACCUUAGACAAACUGUGUGCUUCAGCCUCUAUGAUUACAUUUCUUUAUCUGUUCAAUGAGAAGAAGAAUAACAGCUAACUCCUGGAGUUAUUAUCAGGAAUAAAUAAGAUAUGAAUGUAAAGUGCUUAUAGCUCAGUGUUUGGCAUACAAAACACUCAUAGUUGUUACUGUUUUUCUUGCUAUAUUUUCAAAUAAAAUAUUUGUUUGUGUUCAGGUCUAUUGGUGGUAGGUCACUCUAGCGCUCUCUUAUUUUAGCCAAAUUAAUAUAAUUUCAAAUUCUCCUUGGAACUUUAAGCAAACCAAGAAAUCCAUUUUAUGUCAAGAAAUCAAGCUGUCACUUCUGUCCAUUUGUACACUUUUUUUUUUUUUAAUUGAGCAACUACCAUGUGCAAGGCUCUGGGCUAGGUAUUGGGGACACAGGGAUGAAAAUGACACAGUCCCUGUGCUCAAGGUGCUUAGAGUCCAGUGGGGCUUAGAGUCCAGUGGGCUGUCCUGUCAUUCUCAAUCUCAAAAGACAGUCCUCGGCCCAUGAAAAACUGAUCACAUUCAUUGUAUUUAUGGGGUAAAGUGUAGGCAGUGGCAGAAUAACUGAUUUGUAGGCUGGAGAGGUGGAGCAAAUCACACCUCAGGUGUUCUCAAACUUUUUGGUCUCAGGAUCCUUUUACAUUCUUAAAAGGUAUUAAGGAUCCUAACAAGGUUUUAAAAAUAUGCAUUAUAGCUAUUGUUAAUUGUGUUUGAAAUUAAAGCAGAGAAAUGUGGAAAAUAUUUGUUUAAAAUUAAGAAUAAACAUGCUAACAUAAAUAACAUUUUUGGAAAAAUAAUUAUAUGGUUAUGGUAUAGAAUAGAUGAUUACUUCCUGAGUUUUGACUUACCUUUGGAGAAGGAGAAAGUGAAAAUGAGCUAUUCCACGAUGGAGAAUAGGUUCUUACAAUAGUGGUUUAAGAAUGCUCAUCUAUGACGCAUGGUUCAGUCAGACAUAUGUCCAUGUGUGGCUUAGGAUCUUGAGGCCAUCAACUUUAUCCCAAACUCCCUCUGCCCCCUUUUCUCUGCCCUUGAGAACUGCCUGUCCAAGGAUGUUCCUCGUUGAUAAAGUUUGUAUGUUGUGCAACGGGGAAAGGACUGCUUGGAAACUCUGACGUUUGGGUUCUCCAGCCAAAGACCUUGGAUAGGCAUCAUUAGGAGCAAUAAAUAAACGCAGCAUCAGGACAGAGAGAGUGUGGACUUGCACCAUCAGGAACAAAAGAGGAAUUAACUUCCUGAAACUGCACUUGUUUGUUUGUUUUUCAGAUGGGGUCUCGCUCUGUUGCUCUGGUUGGAGUAUGGUGGCACAAUCACGGAUCACUGCAGCCUCGACCUCCCCAGGCUCAGGUGAUCCUCCCACCUCAGUCUUCCGAGUACUAGGACUACAGGCACAUGCCACCAUGCCCAGCUAAUUGUUGUAUUUUUAUUUUUAUUUUUUAUAGAGAUGGGGUCUCACUGUGUCACCCAGGCUGGUCUAGAACUCCUGCCCUCAAGCCAAAUCUCCUUUCUGAAAUAUAUUUUCUUCUAUAUUUCCUAAUGUCUAUGUAGAGUAUCAUCGUUUUCUCAGCCACCAAGGACAGAAAAUGUGGUCAUCUUUGAUUUUUUUUUGGUUCUCCUCUAUCUGCCAAUUCUGCUUUAACAAAAAGCCCAAACUCAGCAAGGUAGAAACAAGUAAUGAUUUUGCAGCUCACCUAUCACUGUUUUCAAUUGUGUGCUGUUGAAUUUCCUUUCUCUGUUCCUUAAUAUGUGUUCAGCAGAUCACAGAGCUUGUAGUUACUUUCUGUAGCCCAGAUUAAGAUUCAUGUCCGUUUAUUUAAAAGUCUAGUCCAGGUAAAAUAAAAUCUUUACUUUUGUUUCCAAUUCAAAGCACGUGACCUUAUUCCAUUGUGCAGGUUCCCUCAGAUCUGCAGUGACCUGAAUUGGAGGCCCAUCCCAGGUCAGGGGUCCCCC
rnacentral:lncRNA from 1 species